GAUGAACGCUAGCUACAGGCUUAACACAUGCAAGUCGAGGGACCGGCGCACGGGUGAGUAACACGUAACCACCCUGCCCUUUACUCGGGGAAAGCGUUUCGAAAGAAAGAUCAAUACCCGAUAUAAAGGAUGGGGGUGGGUUGCAUUGGGUUGUUGGUGAGGUAACGGCUGACCAAGCCUUCGAUGGAUGGGGGGUCGGAGAGGAAGGUCCCCUGCAUUGGAGCUGAGGCACAGUCCAAACUCCGACGGGGGGCAGCAGUGAGGUAUAUUAGGCGAUGAGCGCUGGUCUGACCCAGCCAAGUAUCGUGAAGGGUGAGGUCUUAUUGGUCGUAAACUUCUUUUGAAUAAGACUAGGUAUUAUAUGAAUAAGGAUCGGCUAACUCCGUGCCAGCAGCCGCGGUAAUUC
rnacentral:rRNA from 1 species